ACGCCGACGCUGUAACUUGCCUUCAGCGAAUUGGCCCUGUCCUUCUUCUCUGCCCUAGGUCGGUCUUCGCAGCGGCAUUGUGUUAUAAGCGCCACCCUCGCAGGCCGCGGCUCAGAGUAGCGGCGCUUCGGUACCCAAACGGCAAGGGAGACCGGCAAGGCCUCGUCUCUCUUCUCUCUCUCUCUCUCUCUCUCUCUAUCUUUCGCCCUCCUUCCUUUCUCCCCCUUCAAAUCCCGAUCUCGUCGCCGCCUGGCUUGGGGGAACGGAGCAACGCCGACCGCCCUCCUCGUCCUUUCCGUUCUAUGCUUCAACCCUUAAGCAUGGAUUCUCUCCGGCGGCUCUCCUUCCAAAACCUUCCUCUCUUGUCCCAUUGCUGGAGACCUCCAGGAUGCGGUUCCGCUCUCAAUCCAAGGUUUUGGUUGCAGUGUGAUGACGUAUUUGGAUUGGGUGGUUUAGGAAAACGGGAGAAAGUUUGCGGGGAUGAAGUUGUUAAAAUGGGCAAUCUGCUGACGAAUGGCAAAUUGUUGCUCUAUCUGAUACACUAGGUGUGCCCAUAUAUAUCUUGUAAAUCUUGAUCAAAGUAAAUCUAGCUUUGGAGAAAUAGUAUUGAACAAUCAUCUCUUCUUUAAUCCUCCCCUGGAUAGCGAUUCCAAGAUUUCACUUUCAGACACUUCACUAAGGGAUAUAUUGAUGGUAGUGAAUCUGAAAUCGUGAUAAGAUCAGGUCCUCCCUAGGUCAUUGCUAGUGAGAGCAUCGGAGCUUGUACAAGCAACAACCUAUCUUGAAAUCUGCCAAUUGCCAUGGUAACCUUGCUCUUUACUAUUUGGCAUUAUGACAUCAUCUACCCCAAGAGACUCAGAGAAGCUGGGCAUGUGGUCUCUUGGAUUGCAUUCUAUGUACAGUUGAUGUUCUUGUGUCUGGUUGAUUCAUCACAUCAAAACAUUAUAGGCUACCAAAGUUCAAUGUUUUCUCCAUAGCCAGGAGUUGAAGAUUUUGUUGUAUUGCUACAAGUUUUGGUUCGAGAUUCUUUGUAAAUGUAACUUUGUUAAUAUGUAAAAUGUGCUGAGAUAAGAGAAAAAUGUAAAGAUAUAAUUAUUCACUAGUUAAAGUUUCAAAUUUUAUGGAGAAAUAGAAAACUAUACCUUCAUACAUUGAGCUGUAACUGUUCGAUUGUUUGUUAA